GAGCGGACAGAUACGAAUCGGUCGAGGGCUUCACCCGCAAGCAAGGUCAUUUCAUAGCAGUCACAAGGUACAUAAGGAAUGGAAGCGGAGUUUGGUUCGAGCGAGCGCGUAUGAAGGCGAAAGCUGAAGUUGCGUGAGCAACAGGACAAACGAAGCAGGCACCAAAGUAGCAUCACAAACCGAUUGAAGCGGAGUUUGGACCGAGCGAACACAUCUGCAGGCCGAAGGCCGAAGCCGUGUGAGCGAGGAACAAGCGAAGCGAAGCGAAACAAAAUAUAGGUCUGGUGACCAUAGCGGAGGGGAAACACCCGUACCCAUCCCGAACACGGACGUGAAGACCUCCAGCGCCGAGAAUACUUGUCUCGAGAGGGACUGGGAAGGUAGGUCGUUGCCAGGC
rnacentral:rRNA from 1 species